rnacentral:tRNA from 4 species
GGGGCGGUAGUUCAGUUGGGAGAACGCCGGUUUUGCAAGCCGGAGGUCACGGGUUCGAAUCCCGUCCGCUCCACCA